GAUGAACGCUGGCGGCGUGCCUAAUACAUGCAAGUCGAGCGAACAGACGAGGAGCUUGCUCCUUUGACGUUAGCGGCGGACGGGUGAGUAACACGUAGGUAACCUACCUAUAAGACUGGGAUAACUUCGGGAAACCGGAGCUAAUACCGGAUAAUAUUUCGAACCGCAUGGUUCGAUAGUGAAAGAUGGCUUUGCUAUCACUUAUAGAUGGACCUGCGCCGUAUUAGCUAGUUGGUAAGGUAACGGCUUACCAAGGCAACGAUACGUAGCCGACCUGAGAGGGUGAUCGGCCACACUGGAACUGAGACACGGUCCAGACUCCUACGGGAGGCAGCAGUAGGGAAUCUUCCGCAAUGGGCGAAAGCCUGACGGAGCAACGCCGCGUGAGUGAUGAAGGUCUUCGGAUCGUAAAACUCUGUUAUUAGGGAAGAACAAACGUGUAAGUAACUGUGCACGUCUUGACGGAACCUAAUCAGAAAGCCACGGCUAACUACGUG
rnacentral:rRNA from 1 species